rnacentral:rRNA from 1 species
UACGUAGGGUGCGAGCGUUAAUCGGAAUUACUGGGCGUAAAGGGCGCGUAGGCGGCCACUGCAAGUCGGUUGUGAAAUCUCCGGGCUUAACCCGGAAAGGUCAACCGAUACUGCAGGGCUAGAGUGCAGAAGGGGCAACUGGAAUUCUCGGUGUAGCGGUGAAAUGCGUAGAUAUCGAGAGGAACACCUGCGGCGAAGGCGGGUUGCUGGGCUGACACUGACGCUGAAGCGCGAAAGCUAGGGGAGCGAACGGG